rnacentral:rRNA from 1 species
CCUACGGGAGGCAGCAGUGAGGAAUAUUGGUCAAUGGACGAGAGUCUGAACCAGCCAAGUAGCGUGAAGGAUGACUGCCCUAUGGGUUGUAAACUUCUUUUAUAUGGGAAUAACAUGUUCCACGAGUGGGAUUUUGUAUGUACCAUAUGAAUAAGGAUCGGCUAACUCCGUGCCAGCAGCCGCGGUAAUACGGAGGAUUCGAUCGUUAUCCGGAUUUAUUGGGUUUAAAGGGAGCGUAGGUGUAUUAUUAAGUCAGUUGUGAAAGUUUGUGGCUCAACCGUAAAAUUGCAGUUGAAACUGGCAGUCUUGAGUACAGUAGAGGUGGGCGGAAUUCGUGGUGUAGCGGUGAAAUGCUUAGAUAUCACGAAGAACUCCGAUUGCGAAGGCAGUUCACUGGACUGCAACUGACACUGAGGCUCGAAAGUGUGGGUAUCAAACAGGAUUAGAUACCCUUGUAGUC